GAAACCUGACGAAUGCUUACACAUGCAAGUCUCUGAUGGGAAGCUAAGCCUAGCUUAGAAGAAGUCAUGGCGGACGGGUGAGUAACGUGUAAAGAACUUGCCCUCUAGACUGGGAUAACAGAUAGAAAUGUCUGAUAAUACCGGAUAUUAUUGUUACAUGGCAUCAUGUAGGAAUGAAAGGAUAAGAUUGCUAGAGGAGAGCUUUGCAUCCUAUUAGCUAGUUGGUAAGGUAGAGGCUUACCAAGGCGAUGAUAGGUAGCCGGCCUGAGAGGGUGGACGGCCACAAGGGGACUGAGAUACGGCCCUUACUCCCACGGGAGGCAGCAGUGGGGAAUAUUGGACAAUGGAGGAAACUCUGAUCCAGCAAUUCUGUGUGUGUGAAGAAGGUCUUCGGAUUGUAAAACACUUUUAGUUGGGAAGAAGAAGAUGACGGUACCAACAGAAGAAGCGACGGCUAAAUACGUGCCAGCAGCCGCGGUAAU
rnacentral:rRNA from 1 species